CUUCAAUAUUGUAGACCUCCACUGUCAUUUAUCAUCUGCUUUUCUCCUUUUCCAUUCUUUCCAAUUCAACCUCGAUUCUCCAAAUUCACCAAUACAACACCAUGAUUAGCAUUCUUGCACAAGAGCGUCUGCUUGGUACUGCUUUGGGGAUUGCUUUUGUGGGUUUUGUUGUUUUUGAGCAAAGGAAACGCAUCUAUGAAUCCAUUUCUGCUGAUCGUAAUCAAUUGGAUGCCCAAUCUCAGUUGAGAGAGCCUAUAUUCGGAAAGCAAUUUCGCUCGCAGUUUGAACUUAUGUGGAACAAAGCUGUGGAUGAGACAUUUAGACCUGUGGUUGCUUCUCUUAAUUCACGUAGGCAGUAAAGAUUUUGCUGUAGUUU
rnacentral:misc_RNA from 1 species